UCGGAUACCAGUAUGGAGAAUGAAGCAUUGCUUUCGCCUUAAAUCAGGAAAACCAGUAAAGAAAAAAAUUCAUAUGUUUUCUUCCUUUAUCAUUUAGAGAGCUUCUUGAAGUGAACCAAAUUGUAAUGGAGCUUAUUGCUCAAUUAAAUUUCUGUUAAUGGUUUCCUGUAUAAUACUGUUCAAAUGCAGACUUAUGAUAAAGCAAGAAAUGCAGUGGCUCUUGCAUUAGGUCCAGUUGUGAAGGCUCUGGUUGAUCCAGAUGGAGCAUUGAGGGAUGUACGGAAUUUGGAUAGUAUUUCUCUUGCUUUGCCGGCCUAGCACUUACUUCUCCGGAAGAUUACUACAUUGAGGGACAAGGUUCACUCCUCCAAUACAUUUUGACACCAGGUGAUCCUUACAUACCUUUACCAAACGAAGAAGUUAUAGCAAGAGUGACGAAACAGGUUUUGGCUUUAUUCCCAUCAUCCCAAGGUUUAGAAGUCACUUGGUCAUCUGUUGCCAAAAUUUGGCA